UGGGACAGGAGGCCCAGACCUGGGAUUUUCAGGUGUUUUCAUUUGGUGAUCAGGACGGACCACAGAGGACGCACCAUGGAGUUUGGACUAAGCUGGGUUUUUCUUGUUGCUAUUUUAAAAGGUGUCCAGUGUGAGGUGCAGCUGGUGGAGUCUGGGGGAGGCUUGGUACAGCCUGGGGGGUCCCUGAGACUCUCCUGUGCAGCCUCUGGAUUCACCUUCAGUGACUACUACAUGGACUGGGUCCGCCAGGCUCCAGGGAAGGGUCUGGAGUGGGUCUCACGUAUUAGCAGUGGUAGUGGUAGUAGCACAUACUACCCAGACUCUGUCAAGGGCCGAUUCACCAUCUCCAGAGACAAUUCCAAGAACACGCUGUAUCUGCAAAUGAACAGCCUGAGAGCCGAGGACACGGCUGUGUAUUACUGUGCGAGAGACACAGUGAGGGGAAGUCAGUGUGAGCCCAGACACAAACCUCCCUGCAGGGACGUUCAGGGGAAAUCAGCGGCAGGGGGCGCUCGGGACCCACUGAUCAGAGUCAACCCCAGAGGCAGGUGCUAUAG